GGUUAAGUGAAUAAGGGCGCACGGUGGAUGCCUUGGCACUAGGAGCCGAUGAAGGACGGGACUAACACCGAUAUGCUUUGGGGAGCUGUAAGUAAGCUAUGAUCCAGAGAUUUCCGAAUGGGGGAACCCAAUAUCUUUUAUAGGAUAUUACUUUUCAGUGAAUACAUAGCUGAUUAGAGGUAGACGCAGAGAACUGAAACAUCUUAGUACCUGCAGGAAGAGAAAGAAAAUUCGAUUCCCUGAGUAGCGGCGAGCGAAACGGGAAGAGCCCAAACCAACAAGCUUGCUUGUUGGGGUUGUAGGACUCCGAUAUGGUAGUCUGUUAGUAUAGUUGAAGGAUUUGGAAAAUUCCGCUAAAGAGGGUGAAAGCCCCGUAGACGAAAUGCUAACAACACCUAGGAGGAUCCUGAGUACGGCGGAACACGAGAAAUUCCGUCGGAAUCCGCGGGGACCAUCCCGCAAGGCUAAAUACUCCCUAGUGACCGAUAGUGAACCAGUACCGUGAGGGAAAGGUGAAAAGCACCCCGGAAGGGGAGUGAAAUAGAUCCUGAAACCGUGUGCCUACAACAAGUCAAAGCUCGUUAAUGAGUGAUGGCGUGCCUUUUGUAGAAUGAACCGGCGAGUUACGAUUGCAUGCGAGGUUAAGUCGAAGAGACGGAGCCGCAGCGAAAGCGAGUCUGAAUAGGGCGAAUGAGUAUGUAGUCGUAGACCCGAAACCAUGUGAUCUACCCAUGUCCAGGUUGAAGGUGCGGUAAAACGCACUGGAGGACCGAACCCACGUACGUUGAAAAGUGCGGGGAUGAGGUGUGGGUAGCGGAGAAAUUCCAAACGAACUUGGAGAUAGCUGGUUCUCUCCGAAAUAGCUUUAGGGCUAGCCUCGGAAUUGAGAAUGAUGGAGGUAGAGCACUGUUUGGACUAGGGGCCCAUCUCGGGUUACCGAAUUCAGAUAAACUCCGAAUGCCAUUCAUUUAUAUCCGGGAGUCAGACUGCGAGUGAUAAGAUCCGUAGUCGAAAGGGAAACAGCCCAGACCACCAGCUAAGGUCCCAAAAUAUAUGUUAAGUGGAAAAGGAUGUGGGGUUGCACAGACAACUAGGAUGUUGGCUUAGAAGCAGCCACCAUUUAAAGAGUGCGUAAUAGCUCACUAGUCGAGUGACCCUGCGCCGAAAAUGUACCGGGGCUAAACAUAUUACCGAAGCUGUGGACUACACCAUUAGGUGUAGUGGUAGGAGAGCGUUCUAAGGGCGUUGAAGGUCGAUCGUGAGGACGGCUGGAGCGCUUAGAAGUGAGAAUGCCGGUAUGAGUAGCGAAAGACAGGUGAGAAUCCUGUCCACCGUAUGACUAAGGUUUCCUGGGGAAGGCUCGUCCGCCCAGGGUUAGUCGGGACCUAAGCCGAGGCCGAUAGGCGUAGGCGAUGGACAACAGGUUGAUAUUCCUGUACCAGUUGUUUUUGUUUGAGCAAUGGAGGGACGCAGUAGGCUAAGGAAUGCAUGCGAUUGGAAGUGCAUGUCCAAGCAAUGAGUCUUGAGUAGAGUUAAAUGCUUUACUCUUUAAGGACAAGUUGUGACGGGGAGCGAAAUAAUAGUAGCGAAGUUCCUGAUGUCACACUGCCAAGAAAAGCUUCUAGUGAGAAAACAACUGCCCGUACCGUAAACCGACACAGGUAGUCGAGGAGAGUAUCCUAAGGUGAGCGAGCGAACUCUCGUUAAGGAACUCGGCAAAAUGACCCCGUAACUUCGGGAGAAGGGGUGCUGACUUCGGUCAGCCGCAGUGAAUAGGCCCAAGCGACUGUUUAUCAAAAACACAGGUCUCUGCAAAAUCGUAAGAUGAAGUAUAGGGGCUGACGCCUGCCCGGUGCUGGAAGGUUAAGAGGAUGGGUUAGCUUCGGCGAAGCUCAGAAUUGAAGCCCCAGUAAACGGCGGCCGUAACUAUAACGGUCCUAAGGUAGCGAAAUUCCUUGUCGGGUAAGUUCCGACCCGCACGAAAGGCGUAACGAUUUGGG
rnacentral:rRNA from 1 species